UCAUAGUAAUGAGGACAACUUCUAAGCAUGCCCUUGAAUCUCUCCCAAGCUUGGUAAAGAUUUUCUCCAAUUUUUUGUUUGAAACUCAAUAUAUCACUCCUCAAUCG
rfam:Capsicum annuum cultivar Zunla-1 chromosome 5, whole genome shotgun sequence